UUUUAUUUGAGAGUUUGAUCCUGGCUCAGGAUGAACGCUGGCGGCGUGCCUAACACAUGCAAGUUGAGCGAUUUACUUCGGUAAAGAGCGGCGGACGGGUGAGUAACGCGUGGGUAACCUACCCUGUACACACGGAUAACAUACCGAAAGGUAUGCUAAUACGGGAUAAUAUAUUUGAGAGGCAUCUCUUGAAUAUCAAAGGUGAGCCAGUACAGGAUGGACCCGCGUCUGAUUAGCUAG
rnacentral:rRNA from 1 species